AUGUUCUACUGCUCUGUAGGUCGUGCUUUUGCUGGAGGUUUAGAGGUGCUCUUGAUCGAGUGUCUCUGAGCGCCAGCAGGUUUACUUUUGAAAAAAUUAGAGUGCUCAAAGCAGGCUAUUCCGCCUGAAUAUUCGUGCAUGGAAUAAUAGAAUAGGAUGUCGAUCCUAUUUUGUUGGUUUUCGGGACUCGACAUAAUGAUUAAUAGGGACAGUCGGGGGCAUUUGUAUUCAAACGACAGAGGUGAAAUUCUUGGACCGUUUGAAGACAAACUACUGCGAAAGCAUUUGCCAAGAAUGUUUUCAUUAAUCAAGAACGAAAGUUAGAGGUUCGAAGGCGAUUAGAUACCGCCCUAGUUCUAACCAUAAACGAUGCCAGCUAGCGAUCUGCCGGCGUUAAUACUGUAGACUCGGCAGGAAGCUUCCGGGAAACCAAAGCAUUUGGGUUCCAGGGGAAGUAUGGUUGCAAAGCUGAAACUUAAAGGAAUUGCCGGAAGGGCACCACCAGGAGU
rnacentral:rRNA from 1 species